GGGUGGCGACCGGCGCACGGGUGCGUAACGCGUAUGCAACCUACCUUGUACUGGGGUAUAGCCCGGAGAAAUUCGGAUUAAUCCCCCAUAGUAUUAAUUACUCGCAUGAGUUAUUAAUUAAAGGUUACGGUACAAGAUGGGCAUGCGUCCUAUUAGCUAGAUGGUGGGGUAACGGCUCACCAUGGCUACGAUAGGUAGGGGGCCUGAGAGGGUGGUCCCCCACACUGGUACUGAGACACGGACCAGACUCC
rnacentral:rRNA from 1 species